UAAGGCGGCUCUGAAGAAAGGUCGUUCCUCCAGCCUGUUCCAUGUGCUGCCCGAGACCUUAGAGACAGCCCACGCUAAGGAAGUAUCCGAGCUUCUCAGCGAGGUGAAGUAUAAAGAGGACGGCAAGAAGGAGAUGAGCAUCAACCUGUACUCUCUGCUACCUGAGACCAUCGACACCCAACACGCUAAAGAGGUGUCAAACCUGCAGAGUGAGGUAAAGUAUAAAGAAGGUCUGAAGCAGAAGAUUCAAAGCAGUUUGUACCAUCAGCUCCCAGAGACCACAGAGACACAGCUGGCCAACAGCUGUCUGAACUGCAGAGUGAGGUACAAGA